UAAGGCACACUUAGAAUUUGAUAAAUGUAAAAUGAAACAGAAUUAAAGUCAGUUAAUGCAGACAGCCAGUCCAUUUGUGGAAACAUAUUACAGACAAUAUAUACAAGACAGUAAAUAAAUUGUAAUGAAAUCAAG